GCUUGUCGACACUUGCAAUUGGCCUCCCGCGGCACCCGUAUCCGGCACGGCCCGAUAUCGCAACUGCGCCUCAACCGUGCUCCGCUUCGCAGCCCCGAAAAUUAUAGGUCCUCGGUUAUGUGCCACGGUGCCUCAAAUCCAUUUCCACGAUUUUACGACGUCGCCUCGGCCCUCCAGGCGGCAACGAAGCCUAAACAUCCGUUUCUUUAAUAACUUCGCAACGGCUCGUCGGAUUGCCGAACCGUCUUCGCCAACGCG
rnacentral:lncRNA from 1 species